GCAGCUCUAGUGGUAGCUGUUUUUAUUGGGCCUAAAGCGUUCGUAGCCGGUUUGAUAAGUCACUGGUGAAAUCCUGUAGCUUAACUGUGGGAAUUGCUGGUGAUACUGUUGAACUUGAGGUCGGGAGAGGUUAGCGGUACUCCCAGGGUAGAGGUGAAAUUCUGUAAUCCUGGGAGGACCACCUGUGGCGAAGGCGGCUAACUGGAACGAACCUGACGGUGAGGGACGAAAGCUAGGGGCGCGAACCGGAUUAGAUACCCGGGUAGUCCUAGCCGUAAACGAUGCGGACUUGGUGUUGGGAUGGCUUUGAGCCGCUCCGGUGCCGAAGGGAAGCUGUUAAGUCCGCCGCCUGGGAAGUACGGUCGCAAGACUGAAACUUAA
rnacentral:rRNA from 1 species